AGCCAGCGUAGACUGGCAUGCCCCAGGCAUCUAUGGGUGAAUAUCUCUGAGUGCCUCACUCUCAAGCAUAACUAGGAGG
rnacentral:pre_miRNA from 1 species